UUCUGUAACAGUUCUCACUUUUACAUUUGUUCCACUAACAAGAAACACAAAAGCCAACAAUAAGUGGAUACAAUGCUAGAAGAGCAGGUGUGUUUUCACUCAGAGGAAGCAGCUACAGAUAGGAAAAUGUCUUAGCAGCUGAUGUAUCAGAAGACUGAAGCUGUGCCAGACAAAAUGAGAAGAUUUUAUUCAACCCAGCACAGUGUCAACACACGAUGAGCUACACAGCACAUGGCUUCAAGCUUUCUUUGCUUAGAGUUGGGAAAGAUUUACCACAAAAUUCAGCAGGCACAGCUGCUGAUUUCUCCUUGGUGCAUGCAGAUAUCAAAAAAAUUUAGUUAAAGCUUGAGUAACCUGACUGCUCAAU